GGGGUGCACCAUAGAUAUAAACUGGAGAAUUAUCAGAGUAUAAGUGGCAUUUUACACCAUGAGGCUGGAUGUGAGUGGGCACAUCUAGAGUAAGGCCGAGGCCUGUGACAACAUUUAAAGGAAACAUUACAACAUGUCUGUGUGCUGCUAGGAAUGAUUUGGCACAACGGGAGAUAUUGAUGAUGCAGGGGAGAGGGGCAGACUUACAGGAGCCCGGUCCCUGAGGAGGCUGCUGCACAGGAAGCCGGUGCGCAAGCCGACAGCUCACAUGCAGGGGAGCAACUAUUUGGAGAUGCCAUUUUUUUCACCCAUGAGAUUGUCAUAUAUCCAAGUUGGCUAAGAGGUCCUGCUGAUGAGGCUUUGGGGAAACACACUCAUGUUUGCAAAGAGAUGGUCACUGAAAAUCCCCAGCAGCUCAGCAGUAGCACUGUAGCUGUGGCUGAAGAUAAGUAUCUGCAGCCAUGUGGUAUCCCCUGAAGGCCUGCUGAACUCCAUCCCUUCCUCUCCUGAACCAGAAGGCAUAUCAGAAUGAAAGUAAUGAUUCUUUGCAACUUCAAGGCUGAACCCCAAGGCUUAUUGCCCAGGGAAGGAGAUGGUGAAAUAAAGCAGCAAAUGAUCACCUAUAAAUGCCAAAGCAGUGGGGACAGCAUAGGUUAUGAUACAGAUAAUGUGGAAAGACAGCCUCUCUGGCUCAGAGAAAUUGUGAGAGGGAGGGGGCCAGAGGUGGAGCGGCAGGCCUGGAGAGUGUGUUCUGAGCAACUCCUUCUGGCCAGAUUUCAGGAUGGGGCCAGCAUAUCAAGUAGGUUGAGAUCAAACACAGAUGUUUCUGUCCUUGCCAUCUGCAACCCUGGGACACCAACAUCUGGACUUUCCCAAUAUGGGGAAGCCAAAUCAGAAUAAAAGCAGUUGUGGUGUGUGGUUGGGCAGAGGAGGGGGGACCAGAUUUGACUGUCCUGUGCCACAGCGGAUAGCAUGAGCCCCUCUGUUCUGAGUAGGGAUAAGGAUGGUGGCUGGCAGGCUUGCUGGGACAUUUGCUACAUCAAGGAUAACGUGGCAGUGAUAGAAAGUCACUUACAGUCAGUCCGGUGUGAGUGAGGGCCAAGGUGGGGACCUAGGCAGCGGGGAGAGCCAACAGGCCAUGGGGGCCCCCAACUGCACGGACAGGAACGGAGCCUCCAUUCUUCAGCCAAAAGCUGUAGCUACAGAUGCCAGCAAGGCAGUGAGCAGGGCGACGAGGUGCAUGCUCUAGGGUCUGAGGAUCUGCCUGAGCAUGCAGACCCCUCCUCAACAGCCCCUUACUCACCGGCCCCCACCCCCACCCAUAAAACCAAACAUUGUCAUGAAGAGCAGGAAGAAGGGAAGAAAUCUGAAACACUGGGCACAUAUCCAAAAGAGACAAAGUUACCUAUAGAGGGAGUGACAAUGACCAGAUGGAGGUUAUAGGACCAUCUAAGUGCUGGCAUUCACACCUGGCAGACUGGACAUCACAUGAAAGAGCAGAUGAGUGAAAGAAAGAAAGAAAGAAAGAAAGAAAGAAAGAAAGAAAGAAAGAAAGAAAGAAAGAAAGAAAGAAAGAAAAAAG